UACGUAGGGGGCAAGCGUUUGUCCGGAAUCAUUGGGCGUAAAGCGCGUGUAGGCGGUCCGGUAAGUCCGCUGUGAAAGUCGGGGGCUCAACCCUCGGAUGCCGGUGGAUACUGUCGGGCUUGAGUACGGAAGAGGCGAGUGGAAUUCCUGGUGUAGAGGUGAAAUGCGCAGAGAUCGGGAGGAACACCAGUGGCGAAGGCGGCCAUCUGGAUCAACACUGACGCUGAGGCACGAAAGCGUGGGGAGCAAACAGGG
rnacentral:rRNA from 1 species